rnacentral:lncRNA from 1 species
GCCCUUCUCGAGGCCGGUGCUUGACUGGAGGAGGGCUGGCAGCAGAAGUGCAGCUGACCGGGUUGCGUUUUCGUACGGCUGACUAAAGCGGAUACCGGUGGCGACUCAUUUCUCGUUUUAUUUUUCAACGAUUUGGCGGAGAAGCUCCUCUUGUGAAUGGACUUUGGAUUUCUUGGAGCUGCGCUGCGGGUCCCACAGUGUGGCUUUCGGCCCGUGCUGUGCUGGCGCCUGCACUUCCUCUGGCGGGGCACGGGGUGGCGCUCCCUGGUAAAGCAGCGGCCAGGGGGAGCCGUGAGUGAGGCGCUGCCUCUCCCGCUGAAGCGGGUUCCAAGGCCACCGUGAGGGGGACCAUCCAUCCAGGAGAGUACUGGGCAGGCUGCAAAUGUCUGUGUUAAAACAGCUCUGCUGGGCUAAGACAGGACAGAAGCAGACAGCAGGUGGAUGAGACACAAUUUCCUAUCCAGCAGAACCUGCAGCAAGCUCCACAGCACCCUCCAUGGGCUCAGUCUUGCUCCCGGGAAGAUGGUUAAUUCCAUCAGCUCCUUCUGGCCGGCAGCAGGAAGAGUGGCCCUGUGUGUGCCAGGCCCUGCAGUCUCUCCUCUCAGCUGGUGUCUCCAGUGAGGGACCUGAGUCAUCGCACACAUGAGCCUGUGCUCAGCCUGCACAUCUCCCGCCUCCCACCAGCUGCUCCUCAACUGCCAGGGCCAGACUGUGGCAAAAUCUCACUCCUCUGCCGAUGCUGGGGUUUCCCUCGUGUCUGGGAGGUGGUGUGCUUGGUGGCCUGAGCACUGCAGUGAAUCCAUGUUUCCCUCCCAGCACCCUGUUCUGUCCUCCAACUUGGCCGACAGCUCUGGCCAGGGACGCAGCCCAGCUGGUGCCCACCCCGCACUCUGUCCAUUUCAUAAGAGCCCUUGGUUUCCUCACUUCCCUCAGAUUUUGCCAAGAGAAUGGUCCUGGUGUGGCCCAGAAAGGCCAGCGGGGUGCAGCCUGGGACUGAAAGCAGAGGCGGCUCUGGUGGGGAAAAAGUAGCUCUCCCAGCCUAGCCCUACUGGUGGGCGGCACCUCCUGGCUCCAGGCCAUCUUUUGUCCCAGUCCUAGGUAAGAAAAACACAAACAAAAGCCAGUCCCAUGGCACUCGAGAAGCAGGAGGCCGUUCCCUGACAGCAACAUGCUGUGUGCACAGACACACGGGUGGACAGGAGGCAGAGCUCGGGGUUGCUGCGGAGCGGGCAGGACACUGGAGCGGCAGGCAGUGCGGACCCGCCGGGCAGCCGUGCACGGUUGUCGUCCUCAGCGGCAGGAGCCAGUUUGUUGCUCAGGGCCUUGUCUUUUUACAAAGAGCCCCAGGCCCCGGGGGCUUCUCUGGGUGCCUCUUUGCUGCCAUGUCUGCACGCGGGCGGAGAGCAGACCAGGCUACCGACCCUCUCGCUUUGCUGUCUUCACGUGGAAAAGCCAGUGUCGUAGCCCCAAAGGAGGGGAAACUGUAUUGAUUUGGGGAGCCUCUAUGUUGAUUUCAAAACAGAUUGUCUCCUGUGUUCUCAAAGACUGGAAGCGAACCCCACAACCGCCUUAGGCCACAAAAGCUUUAUCCUUUCUAAUUAGCAUCCCUGUGACCUGCUCUGCGCCCUGCAGAUAUUUUGCUCAGCCAGCCAGAAGGAGGGAGGCCAGACACCAGCCCCCACAGACCUGCGGCUGCGACCCCCUGCCUGGGGACGAUGGGGUCGGGGUCCAGUAGCUGCCCCAGAAACAAGUGGGGCUGCAGGAGGCUGAUGGUGAGCUUGGAGGUUGGCAGAAUUCUAAAUCUGGGCACUGCAGGGUCCCCACAGGUCACGACCCUACUCUGCUCCACCCAGGCUCCGGAGGACCUGAGCAGGAACCUCUGCAGGGGGGGCCCGGGGCUCCCUGUCCUCUCAGCAGCCGGCAGUGCUCCCUGACAGCCCGGGCCUCUCCCUCCAGUAGUUCGGUAGUUUGCUGUCACCAACAUGGCUGGGCCUGGGACAGGCUCCUCCUCUCCCUCCAGAAGCCAGGCAGUCCCUCCUGCCUCAGUUUCUCAGACUAGGCCGCCUCUCCCAUCGCGAGACACUGAAGACCCUCAGCUGUUUCCAUCUGCCCAGUCUGACUGCUGGAUCGCCCUCUGUGUGCGUUGGUUUGCUGUGUUCUUGCUACUCGCCCUUGGAUAAGAUUUCUUCUCUACUCAUGAAGCUGCGUGUCCUGGAGGGCAGGGCCGCACCUCACAUGCAUGUUGCCCACAUAGCUCAGCAACAGAUGCUCUCACGCUUGUUAAAAGUAAAACCGGGCCAGGCGCAGUGGCUCACGCCUGUAAUCCCAGCACUUUGGGAGGCCGAGGUGGGUGGAUCACCUGAAGUCAGGAGUUUGAGACUAGCCUGACCAACAUGGAGAAAUCCCGUCUCUACUAAAAAUACAAAAAAUUAGCUGGGCGUGGUGGCACAUGCCUGUAAUCCCAGCUACUCGGAGGCAGGAGAAUUGCUUGAACCCAGGAGGCGGAGGUUGCGGUGAGCCAAGAUCACGCCAUAGCAAUUGCACUCCGGCCUGGGCAACAAGAGCAAAACUCUGUCAAAAAG